UACGAUUAGACGGCGAAUUGGUAUAUAAGCAAUAUAAGGCACUUCCAGCUAUUUUAUAAAAACAUUUAAAUUCGCGACAAUGGACUUCAAGUGCUAUAUGCUUUUUAUAUCGCUUUUCUUGACUGCAGCUGUAGCCAUGCCAGCUACGUCUUGCGAGCCAUUUUGCGGCGAGGGACCCUACAAAGUUAAUUUUCCUCUUCCGGGAAUAUAAAGUGUUUAUUUAUUUAAAUUAACAGAAAUAAAAAUACAGAAAUAAA